UCCAGAUUGAUUGCAGUUCAUUUUUCUUUUUCUUUUUCUUUUUCUUUUUUGGUUAGAUUUUCAAUCUCUUGAGAGAAAUCAUUCUAUAAUGACUUCUACGUAAUUUUGAUUCGAAGCCAAAUGUGACACAGUGUUCAGUCCUCACAAAAGAUAUUAAUAAAGCAAUUUUGAUUAGUGAUGCAAUGGAGACAGGAACUAUACAGAUCAACUCAGCACCAGCUCAUGGACCAGAUCAUUUUCCUUUCCAGGGUCUGGAGGAUAGCGGAAUCGAAUCUCAAGGAAUAACGCAUAGCAUUACUAUGACGACAAAAAUCAAAGCCACUGUGAUAAACUAGCCAACUUCUUUAUACACAAUGCAUUGAUUUGGUAAUUGAUUAGUCCAUUCUUACAAAAUGUCAUCAUUGCCGUUAACAUCUUUAAUAGCUGAUACUAACGGAAGACGGUUCUGUCAGCAUGACAACGCCUUUACUGUUCAACUGCCACGGAAAUUAGUUACAAUAGAAAAUUUUCAGCCAUAGAAGAAAAUCGUUGUUAUAUUUUUUUGCGAGGGGCAAUUUAUUCGUGACAAAAUUGUCUGUUACAUAAAAAAAUUCA